CAGCGAGGAGGUGCCAGCAGUGCCGGGAGCUGCUGUGGCCGCACCAUGGGGCAGCUGCUGUGGAGCUGGGUGCUGUGGGGACUCUGGGUGCUGCCAGGGAAUGCGGGAGCAGUGGGCAUGGGGCCCCUUGUCCCAGCACAGGACCCAGCAGAGCCGGCUGGCAGCUCCCGCGUGUCUGACAGCAUCAGUGCCGAGCAACGUCUGGAUAUGUCACCCACUGUGCCUGAGCUGGGCAUGUGCCAGCUGUCCCCUGGCCGAGCGGAGCAGCCCUCUGCCCUCAGGGAUGGAUCAGGCAGAGCGGUGCUACAGGUGGUGCUGGCAGCGCUGGACCCCACGGGCCCUGGCAAUGAGCAGGAGGUGCCUUCUAGUGCAGCAGUCUCUGGGGAGGUGGCAGGAUGGGACAGUCCCCAGGCAGGGCUUGCCUACCCAAAACAAACCGACUGGCCGACCAGUGUCCCCAUGGCUCCUGGCGCCACUCAGAUCUCGUCCCCUGUGCCAAGAGGGCACACAAUGCCUGUUACCCAUGGGAACAGGGAUGUAGAGCCAGCCACAGCCACGCUGUCCUCAGCUCUACAUGUACCUACAGAGAAGAGGACAGGCACCCUGGUGCUAUUAGGCAGCAGCACCACUCCUACAAAGUCUGUGGGAGAACACAGUGCUCUGCAGAGCACCACUGGGCAGCCCACGCUGGGCACAGCCAUCCCUUUGCAAGAGGGGACCGUGGCCAAUGAACGUAUGGAAGCCACCAGCAUGCUGACAGGAGAUGUCCCAGCACCCACUGGAGGUUUGUCACCACCAGUGACACAUGUUCCUGCAAGUCCUCUGGAGCUGGGGACAGAAGCACCUUCCUCAGCCACCAGCACAGCGAAUGAUGACGAUGGGUUGGGGCAGCCUCACAGUGCUGUCACUGCGGAGGGGACACCGGGGACAGCACAGGGCACGGUGCUGUCUGAUGUCCAACACAGCACAGGGACACCACCCCACUCCCUCACCUGGAUCCCAGCUGAGCUGCACACAGCCGCUGUGCGCCUGUCCCAGGAGGUAAUGCCAGGGCUGGCCGAGGCCACCUCUCCUCUUGUCACAGCAGCCAGUGUCACUGCGGGGCACACAGAGCCUGCAUCAACCACGUCUGGCCGUGUCACAUCUCCCACCGUGCCAGCAACCACAGGGUCUCCCCAUCAUGAUGGAGUACAGAAGUCAGAUACCAUGAUCCUCCCAGGCAGCGUCUCAGCGACAACCACCCCUUCUCCUACCACCGAUGGUGUCAGUGAGGCCACAGCCCCAGGGCUGCCAGCCCCUGGCUCAGCUGGAGAUGGGCUGCACCGAGAGAUCACUGUCACCCA
ensembl:lncRNA